rnacentral:rRNA from 1 species
AUGCUCCACGGGGGGCAGCAGUGGGGAAUAUUGCACAAUGGGGGAAACCCUGAUGCAGCAACGCCGCGUGAGUGAAGAAGUAUUUCGGUAUGUAAAGCUCUAUCAGCAGGGAAGAAGAUGACGGUACCUGACCAAGAAGCCCCGGCUAACUACGUGCCAGCAGCCGCGGUAAUACGUAGGGGGCAAGCGUUAUCCGGAUUUACUGGGUGUAAAGGGAGCGCAGACGGCAGUGCAAGUCUGGAGUGAAAGCCCGGGGCCCAACCCCGGACCUGCUCUGGAAACUGUGCGGCUAGAGUACU